rnacentral:rRNA from 1 species
UGGGGAAUCUUGCGCAAUGGGCGAAAGCCUGACGCAGCAACGCCGCGUGCGGGAUGAAGGCCCUCGGGUUGUAAACCGCUUUCAGUGGGGACGAACCAAGACGGUACCCACAGAAGAAGCCCCGGCCAACUACGUGCCAGCAGCCGCGGUAACACGUAGGGGGCAAGCGUUGUCCGGAUUUAUUGGGCGUAAAGAGCUCGUAGGUGGUUCGGUAAGUCGGGUGUGAAACCUCCAGGCUCAACCUGGAGACGCCACCCGAUACUGCCGUGACUAGAGUCCAGUAGGGGAGCGUGGAAUUCCUGGUGUAGCGGUGAAAUGCGCAGAUAUCAGGAGGAACACCAGCGGCGAAGGCGGCGCUCUGGGCUGGCACUGACACUGAGGAGCGAAAGCGUGGGGAGCGAACAGGAUUAGAUACCCUGGUAGUCCACGCCGUAAACGUUGGGUACUAGGUGUGGGGUCUUAUCAACGGAUUCCGUGCCGAAGCUAACGCAUUAAGUACCCCGCCUGGGGAGUACGGCCGCAAGGCUAAAACUC